AAUCAACGCUGGCGGCGUGCCUCAGACAUGCAAGUCGAACGCGAAAGUCCCCUUCGGGGGACAAGUAGAGUGGCGCACGGGUGAGUAACACGUAGGUAAUCUACCUUCGGAUGGGGAAUAACAACCGGAAACGGUUGCUAAUACCGCAUAAUGCAGCGGCACCUAAUGGUGACAGUUGUUAAAGCGGGGGAUCGAAAGACCUCGCGUCUGAAGAGGAGCCUGCGGCGGAUUAGCUAGNGGUAAGGUAAUGGCUUACCAAGGCGACGAUCCGUAGCCGGCCUGAGAGGGCGGUCGGCCACACUGACACUGACAUAC
rnacentral:rRNA from 1 species